CCUACGGGUGGCAGCAGUGGGGAAUAUUGGACAAUGGGCGAAAGCCUGAUCCAGCCAUGCCGCGUGUGUGAAGAAGGCCUUCGGGUUGUAAAGCACUUUCAGUGGGGAAGAAAGCCUUGGGGCUAAUACCCUCGAGGAAGGACAUCACCCACAGAAGAAGCACCGGCUAACUCCGUGCCAGCAGCCGCGGUAAUACGGAGGGUGCGAGCGUUAAUCGGAAUUACUGGGCGUAAAGCGCGCGUAGGCGGUCUGAUAAGCCGGUUGUGAAAGCCCCGGGCUCAACCUGGGAACGGCAUCCGGAACUGUCAGGCUAGAGUGCAGGAGAGGAAGGUAGAAUUCCCGGUGUAGCGGUGAAAUGCGUAGAGAUCGGGAGGAAUACCAGUGGCGAAGGCGGCCUUUUGGACUGACACUGACGCUGAGGUGCGAAAGCGUGGGUAGCAAACAGGAUUAGAUACCCUGGUAGUC
rnacentral:rRNA from 1 species